GGGCUGCAGCAAACGCUCCGCAGCCUGCGCCCCGCGAGUGACCUGCUGCUGCCAUGGUCUCGGCUCCGCGCUGCCCGCCCGGCGCCCGGGGGCUCCUGGCGCUGCUGCUGCUGCUGCUGCCCCUGCCCGGGGCUCGCGGUCAGUGUGGGGCCCCUCCAAGGCUCAGUCGUGCCAUCCCCUAUGAUACCAGUCGCACAGAGGGCUUCCCUAUCGGCACAGAAGUGACCUACAGGUGCCUUGAUGGCUUUGUUAAAAUCCCUGGAAAGUCAGACACUGUCGUUUGCCUUUCAAACUCAGAGUGGUCAGCCAUUGGAGAGUUUUGUAGUGGUGGCUGUGGUGCCCCACCAAGGUUAAAAUCUGCUACCUUAAGCAAGAAAGAUGGGCAGAAGAAUUACUCUCCUUCUGGGAGCACUGUGAGUUAUGUCUGUCGCCCAGGAUAUGAGAGCACCCAAGUGAAACCUGUCAUUACUUGUCUUGAGAAUUUAAGAUGGUCAGAAGCCCCUGAGAUCUGUAGAGGGAAAUCGUGUGGUGUUCCAAAAGGACCAGAGCAUGGCAGAGCUGUUGUUCUAACCAAUGACCUGUAUGGUGCAAGAGCAAAUGUCAUUUGUGAUGAAGGGUUCAGAUUACAUGGACGGACUUUCAUCCAAUGUUUGCUGAAGGGAGAUCAAGUUGAAUGGAGUCAACUUCCAACUUGUCAAGUGGUUACUUGUUCUCCUCCUCCUAAUGUUACCAAUGGGAUGCACAAUGGCAGCAACGUGGAAAUCUUUGUCUAUAACUCAUCAGUAACUUACAAAUGUGACCAGGGCUUCUCUCUUAUUGGAGAGGCUUCCAUUCAGUGUACAACUAAAUAUAACAUCAAUGGAGUCUGGAAUGGGUCUGCCCCUGAAUGCAAAGCAAUACCUUGUCCUCCACCUCCUGAUAUCACCCAUGGAUCCCUUACUGGUCAGAGUGAACAAGAGUUUUCCUUUGGCUCAGCGGUAACUUACAAAUGUGACCAGGGCUUCUCUCUUAUUGGAGAGGCCUCGAUUCAUUGUACAACGAAAGAUAAUGUCAAUGGAGAGUGGAGUGGGCCUGCCCCUGAAUGCAAAGGUCAGUGUGGGGCCCCGCCAAGCCUCAGUCGUGCCAGCCCCCAUGAUACCAGUUGCACAGAGGGCUGCCCUAUCGGCACAGAAGUGACCUACAGGUGCCUUAAUGGCUUUGUUAAAAUCCCUGGAAAGUCAGACACUGUUGUUUGCCUUUCAAACUCAGAGUGGUCAACCUUUGGAGAGUUUUGUAAUGGUAGCUGUGGUGCCCCACCAAGGUUAAAAUCUGCUACCUUAAGCAAGGAAGAUGGGCAGAAGAAUUACUGUCCUCCUGGGAGCACUGUGAGUUAUGUCUGUCGCCCAGGAUAUGAGAGCACCGAAGUGAAACCUGUCAUUACUUGUCUUGAGAAUUUAACAUGGUCAGAAGCCCCUGAGUUCUGUAGAGCGAAAUCGUGUGGCGUUCCAAAAGGACCAGAGCAUGGCAGAGCUGUUGUUCUAACCAAUGACCUGUACGGUGCAAGAGCAAACAUCAUUUGUGAUGACAGGUUCAGAUUAUGUGGACGGCCUUUCAUCCAAUGUUUGCUGAAGGGAGAUCAAGUUGAAUGGAGUCAACUUCCAACUUGUCAAGCGGUUACUUGUUCUCCUCCUCCUAAUAUUGCCAAUGGGACGCACAAUGGCAGCAACGUGGAAAUCUUUGUCUGUAACUCAUCAGUAACUUACAAAUGUGACCAUAAUUUCUUACUUACUGGAGAGGCCUCCAUUCAGUGUACAACUAAAGAUAACAUCAAUGGAGUCUGGAAUGGGUCUGCCCCUGAAUGCAAAGGCACUUGUGAUUCUCCUCCAAGAUUGAGUUUUGCUGAGCUGCCUGGGGUAGUGAACAAUUCCUAUCCUGUUGGGACCGAACUGAAAUACUCCUGUCGCCCAGGAUACGUUUUGGGCUCUGGAAAGUCUCCUUUAGUUGUAUGUCUUGCAAAUUCAACAUGGUCAGUAGACCCUGAGUUUUGUGUAGGAAUACCAUGUAAACAACUAGAACUAGAAAAUGGCAGGGUUCAUUUAAAGGAUCGCCAGGUUGGUGCAACAGCAAACUUCUCCUGUGAUGAAGGGUACAGAUUAAUUGGAACGACUUCUACCCAAUGUGUGGUUGCGGAAAAUGGAGUUAAUUGGGAUAAGGAGCUUCCACAUUGCCAAGCAAUACCUUGUCCUCCACCUCCUGAUAUCACCCAUGGAUCCCAUACUGGUCAGAGUGAACAAGAGUUUUCCUUUGGCUCAGUGGUAACUUACAAAUGUGACCAGGGCUUCUCUCUUAUUGGAGAGGCCUCCAUUCAUUGUACAACGAAAGAUCACGUCAAUGGAGAGUGGAGUGGGCCUGCCCCUGAAUGCAAAGCAAUACCUUGUCUUCCACCUCCUGAUAUCACCAGUGGAUCCCAUACUGGUCAGAGUGAACAAGAGUUUUCCUUUGGCUCAGCGGUAACUUACAAAUGUGACCAGGGCUUCUCUCUUAUUGGAGAGGCCUCCAUUCAUUGUACAACGAAAGAUAACAUCAAUGGAGAGUGGAGUGGCCCUGCCCCUGAAUGCAAAGGCAUUUGUGAUUCUCCUCCAAGAUUGAGUUUUGCUGAGCUGCCUGCGACAGUGAACGAUUCCUACCCUGUUGGGACCAAACUGAAAUACUCCUGUCGCCCAGGAUACGUUUUGGGCUCUGGAAAGUCUCCUUUAGUUGUAUGUCUUGCAAAUUCAACAUGGUCAGUAGACCCUGAGUUUUGUGUUGGAAGACUGUGUAAACAACUAGAACUAGAAAAUGGCAGGGUUGAUUUAACCGAUCUCCGGUUUGGUGCAACAGCAAACUUCUCGUGUGAUGAAGGGUACAGAUUAAUUGGAACGAUUUCUGCCCAAUGUGUGGUUGUGGGAAAUGGAGUUAAUUGGGAUAAGAGGCUUCCACAUUGCCAAGCAAUACCUUGUCUUCCACCUCCUGAUAUUGCCAAUGGAUCCCAUAUUGGUCAGAGUGAACAAGAGUUUUCCUUUGGCUCAGCAGUAACUUACAAAUGUGACCAGGGCUUCUCUCUUAUUGGAGAGGCCUCCAUUCAUUGUACAACAAAAGAUAACGUCAAUGGAGAGUGGAGUGGGCCUGCCCCUGAAUGCAAAGCAAUACCUUGUCCUCCACCUCCUGAUAUCACCCAUGGAUCCCUUACUGGUCAGAGUGAACAAGAGUUUUCCUUUGGCUCAGUGGUAACUUACAAAUGUGACGAGGGCUUCUCUCUUAUUGGAAAGGCUUCCAUUCAUUGUACAACGAAAGAUAAUGUCAAUGGAGAGUGGAGUGGGCCUGCCCCUGAAUGCAAAGCUAGCUGUGGUGCCCCACCAAGGUUAAAAUCUGCUACCUUAAGCGAGGAAGAUGGGCAGAAGAAUUACUCUCCUCCUGGGAGCACUGUGAGUUAUUUAUGUCGCCCAGGAUAUGAGAGCACCGAAGUGAAACCUGUCAUUACUUGUCUUGAGAAUUUAACAUGGUCAGAAGCCCCUGAGUUCUGUAGAGUCACAAUCACCCAGGACAAACCCACAGCUGUCCCUCCCGAAGGAACAGAAGUAGCUGGUACUUCCUCAGUCACAAUCACCCAGGACAAACCCACAGCUGUCCCUCCCGAAGGAACAGAAGUAGCUGGUACUUCCUCAGUCACAAUCACCCAGGACAAACCCACAGCUGUCCCUCCCGAAGGAACAGAAGUAGCUGGUACUUCCUCAGGUUCUGACCGGAACACAGCUGGCAACUCUGCUGAGCCUGAAGGUGGAGUCAUAAUUACCCAGGAUAAACCCACAACUGUCCCUCCCAAAGGAGCAAAAGUAUCUGGUACUUCCUCAGAGCUUGGCUUUUAUACACGCAUCAGCAUUCCCAGCAUCUGCAUCACCUUCGCCAUUGUUCUUACAGUGUAAAUCCGGAUUCCACAAAGUAUCAAAUUACAACAUAAUUUCAAGAGACGGCAGGUCAAAGAAAUGCAUCUUUCCCUUGGGGUGGAAGUUGAUAAGGUUUGUGUCAUUUCUGGGGAUGUUCCUUGCACAGUCUCAGCCCGGCCCCAGAGAAAGUUACGUCUCCCAUGCAAAGGAGCUUGAUAUUUAUUGUAGAGAGGAGCAUAGUUGUCCUGGGGCCUUAGGCAGUGCUGUAGAUAUCCUGGGCUCAGGCCAUGGAGUGCCUUGAAGAUAAGGACGGAAACCUUGACUGUGAUCCAGUAUUCUAUGGGAAAGCAGUACUGGGGUGAUGGAACUAGAGGGCCAGUGGGGGCUCGCACCUCUGCAGUGGAAAUAUUGCAGGGGCUGAUCUAUGACCUCCCCCUCUCCAGACAAUACUUCCUCAGUGCCUGGGGAGAGUGUGAAAUAUGGCAGCCCAGGCUUUGCUCUUCCUGUGUCCCCGCCCACUGGGCAGAAGACGUACCUGGAGGCAGGGAAUGGAACUGGGCUGGGUGAAGCCACAUCAUUGUGAAUGAUGCCGGCAUUUCCUCUCAAAGCAGGAGACUGGGAGCUGGGCGAGCAGUUGCUCAGGAUGCCCAGGGUAGGGAAUCAGGACCAGGGACACUGCCCUGACCAUUUCCUAAGCCUGCCAUGCCAAGUAUAAAUGACUGAUGCUGGCUGCUGGCUACGGCUUACAAAUUAAUAGACAUUGGAAGAAAAUCAUGGAAAAGUUAGGAGAUAAAUGUCAUACAUUUGUACUGAAAUUUGUGUAGUGAAAAUGGAACCCGCUCAAGUAACUGCUGUUACUUUCAGUACAACUUCUUUCCUCUGUUGAGCUGGACUUGUAGUAGGAAUCCACUGCGUUUGAGUAAAGCAUAAAGACCGGAGGUGGAUCAUUGCUCUUGCUCUUGAAAAUGGCUUCUGAAGCAAGCAAGGCAGUUGGCAGCAUGAAAAUUACUUGCUCUUCUGAACAUGCACCUGGUUCCUUAUUUGGCCUCUCCAUGGUGCUAAACGUUUCCCCUUAAAGAACAUAGUCACCAUCAGAGCAUGGCAUGGUUUGGAUUGUGAGUUGUGGCUUUAACGGUAGACAGUAAGAGAGACUCUUCAGAUCCCUACUUACAAGCUUCCAUCAUGGAGUGCGUAUUACUCUUUAAACACAAAUGUAAAGAUGCCAGACACUAGGUGGAAUGUCAUAGAUUCUUCAUAAAAACAUCCAUUCUGGGUCAGACCAAUGGUCCAUCUAGCCAGGUGCUUUAAAGGGAAUGAACAGAACAGGACAGUUAUCAAGUGACCCAUCAUCCCCUGUCAGCCAGUCCCAGCUUCUGGCAAUCAGAGUAGAGACUCUGAGAGCAUGGGGUUGUAUCCCUAGCCAUCUUGGCUAUCCUCCAUGAACUUAUCUCAUUCUUUUUUGAACCCAGUUAUAGUUUUGGCUUUCAUGUGACCUUUCUUAAAAAAAAAAUCUGUAGAUGAAGAGUACAUUUGAAGUGAUACUACAGAAAAAAAGCCAACUUUUGUUACCUGCUCCACAAUGUGUAUUCUUACCACAAGCUUGAUAUAUAGAUGUGAUAUAGUGUGUCUCCCCUAAGAGAAAAUUAAAAGUAAUGUGAAUUUACAUAUGGUUCGAAAGAUGCUCAGAAUACUCACUACUGAAUUGCUAAAAAUUCUCUCAAUAUGAGAAUAAGAAAUAACAUUUGUUUCCUUGCAAUCCACUAGCACUUUCUUAUAAGAAGUAAGCAGUAAGAUCGAAAGUGUCCUCCUGAGAAGUUCCCCAGUGGUUUAGUGCCUACAACCUUUUUAUAUGUUAGUUGUCAAAACUAUCUUUGUAGAUCUUA